CGGCGGAUCAGCCCGCUCCCGGUAAAACGGGACGGCCCGCCAGAGGACCCCUAAACUCUGUUUUCUAUAUGUAACUUCUGAGUAAAACCAUAAAUAAAUCAAAACUUUCAACAACGGAUCUCUUGGUUCUGGCAUCGAUGAAGAACGCAGCAAAAUGCGAUAAGUAAUGUGAAUUGCAGAAUUCAGUGAAUCAUCGAAUCUUUGAACGCACAUUGCGCCCGCCAGUAUUCUGGCGGGCAUGCCUGUUCGAGCGUCAUUUCAACCCUCAAGCCCUCGGGUUUGGUGUUGGGGAUCGGCGAGCCCUUGCGGCAAGCCGGCCCCGAAAUCUAGUGGCGGUCUCGCUGCAGCCUCCAUUGCGUAGUAGUAAAACCCUCGCAACUGGAACGCGGCGCGGCCAAGCCGUUAAACCCCCAACUUCUGAAUGUUGACCUCGGAUCAGGUAGGAAUACCCGCUGAACUUAAGCAUAU
rnacentral:rRNA from 1 species